rnacentral:rRNA from 1 species
UGGGGAAUAUUGCACAAUGGGCGCAAGCCUGAUGCAGCGACGCCGCGUGCGGGAUGGAGGCCUUCGGUUGUAAACCGCUUUUGUUCAAGGGCAAGGCGACGGUCUUUGGCCGUGUUGAGUGGAUUGUUCGAAUAAGCACCGGCUAACUACGUGCC